CCUACGGGGGGCAGCAGUGAGGAAUAUUGGUCAAUGGGAGAGAUCCUGAACCAGCCAAGCCGCGUGAGGGAAGACGGCCCUAUGGGUUGUAAACCACUUUUGUCGGAGAACAAAACCCGGGACGUGUCCCGGACUGCGUGUAUCCGAAGAAAAAGCAUCGGCUAACUCCGUGCCAGCAGCCGCGGUAAUACGGAGGAUGCGAGCGUUAUCCGGAUUUAUUGGGUUUAAAGGGUGCGCAGGCGGAAUGUCACGUCAGCGGUACAAUUUCGGGGCUCAACCCCGUCGUGACGUUGAAGCUGGCGUUC
rnacentral:rRNA from 1 species